rnacentral:rRNA from 1 species
UGGGGANUCUUCCGCAAUGGACGAAAGUCUGACGGAGCAACGCCGCGUGAGUGAUGACGGCCUUCGGGUUGUAAAGCUCUGUUAAUCGGGACGAAAGGCCUUCUUGCGAAUAGUUAGAAGGAUUGACGGUACCGGAAUAGAAAGCCACGGCUAACUACGUGCCAGCAGCCGCGGUAAUACGUAGGUGGCAAGCGUUGUCCGGAAUUAUUGGGCGUAAAGCGCGCGCAGGCGGAUUGGUCAGUCUGUCUUAAAAGUUCGGGGCUUAACCCCGUGAUGGGAUGGAAACUGCCAAUCUAGAGUAUCGGAGAGGAAAGUGGAAUUCCUAGUGUAGCGGUGAAAUGCGUAGAUAUUAGGAAGAACACCAGUGGCGAAGGCGACUUUCUGGACGAAAACUGACGCUGAGGCGCGAAAGCCAGGGGAGCGAACGGGAUUAGAUACCCCGGUAGUCCUGGCCGUAAACGAUGGGUACUAGGUGUAGGAGGUAUCGACCCCUUCUGUGCCGGAGUUAACGCAAUAAGUACCCCGCCUGGGGAGUACGACCGCAAGGUUG